rnacentral:tRNA from 1 species
GGAUCCGUAGCUCAGCGUAGAGCACGUGGCUCAUAACCACGCGGUCGCAAGCUCGUUGCUUGCCGGAUCCACCA